UGGGUAGUCGCCAAGCGGUAAGGCACAGGACUUUGACUCCUGCACGCGAAGGUUCGAAUCCUUCUUACCCAG
rnacentral:tRNA from 2 species